UGUGCUUCUUUCGAAUGAUAA
ensembl:piRNA 21ur-2096 ncRNA